AGGCGACGACGGGUAGCCGGCCUGAGAGGGCGACCGGCCACACUGGGACUGAGACACGGCCCAGACUCCUACGGGAGGCAGCAGUGGGGAAUAUUGCGCAAUGGGCGAAAGCCUGACGCAGCAACGCCGCGUGCGGGAUGAAGGCCUUCGGGUUGUAAACCGCUUUCAGCAGGGAAGAAGCCGCAAGGUGACGGUACCUGCAGAAGAAGCACCGGCUAACUACGUGCCAGCAGCCGCGGUAAUACGUAGGGUGCAAGCGUUGUCCGGAUUUAUUGGGCGUAAAGAGCUCGUAGGCGGUCUGUUACGUCGGUUGUGAAAACUCGGGGCUUAACCCCGAGCCUGCAUCCGAUACGGGCAGACUUGAGUGUGGUAGG
rnacentral:rRNA from 1 species